GGGAUUGUAGUUCAAUUGGUCAGAGCAUCGCCGUCAAGGCAGAAGCUGCGGGUUCGCGCCCCGUCAGUCCCG
rnacentral:tRNA from 1 species